UACGUAGGGGGCAAGCGUUGUCCGGAAUCAUUGGGCGUAAAGAGCGUGUAGGCGGCUUGGUAAGUCCGCUGUGAAAGUCCAGGGCUCAACCCUGGAAUGCCGGUGGAAACUGUCAAGCUUGAGUCCGGAAGAGGCGAGUGGAAUUCCUGGUGUAGGCGGUGAAAUGCGCAGAUAUCAGGAGGAACACCAAUGGCGAAGGCAGCUCGCUGGGACGGUACUGACGCUGAGACGCGAAAGCGUGGGGAGCAAACAGG
rnacentral:rRNA from 1 species